UGGGGAAUAUUGGACAAUGGGGGCAACCCUGAUCCAGCUAUGCCGCGUGAGUGAUGAAGGCCUUCGGGUUGUAAAGCUCUUUUAUAUACGAGAAUGAUGAUGGUAGUAUAAGAAUAAGCACCGGCUAACUUCGUGCCAGCAGCCGCGGUAAUACGAAGGGUGCAAGCGUUGUUCGGAUUUACUGGGCGUAAAGGGCGCGUAGGCGGUCUAAUAUGUCAGUGGUGAAAACCCUGGGCUCAACCUAGGAAUUGCCAUUGAAACUGUUGGACUAGUGGUGACGAGAGGAUGGCGGAAUAUCCAGUGUAGAGGUGAAAUUCGUAGAUAUUGGGUAGAACACCGGUUGCGAAAGCGGCUAUCUGGAGUCAUACAGACGCUGAGGCGCGAAAGCGUGGGGAUCAAACA
rnacentral:rRNA from 1 species